UGUCACUUCCUCUCUCUGGGGCUCUUUCUCAGGUUAGACAUGGCUCUUGGUAGUGUGCUGGGCGUCUUGGCAUGCUUGCAGCUCUUGUCCAGGUUUGGUGGUGAGCGUCCUUGGUGAGGUGACUGGGAGAAGCUCAGUAGCAUGGGUCAGGGAGGAAAUGUGAGAGAGAGAGAAGAUGGAUUUUGGUUAACUGAAAAAAAAGAAAAUUGAAUCAAAUAAAGAAAUGAUAAUGACAAGACUUUUUUUUAAAUAUUAAAAAGAAAAGAUUGCA